rnacentral:ncRNA from 1 species
CCCGCUGAGUUUAAGCAUAUAAUUAAGCGGAGGAAAAGAACUUACUAGGAUUUGCCCUUAGUAACGGCGAGCGAUUUACCGGGAAACAGCCCAGCUGAUUAAUCGGGCGGCUUCGUCGUCCGAGAUUGUAUCUGGAGAAGCGUCCUCAGCGGCGGACCGGGCCCAGUCCCCUGGAAGGGGGCGCCGGAGAGGGUGAGAGCCCCGUCGUGCCCGGACCCUGUCGCAUCCACGAGGCGCUGUUCUGCGAGUCGUUGUUGUUUGGGAAUGAGCCCCAUAUAGGGCGGUAUUCCGUCCAAGGCUAAAUACUUGGCGUGAGACCUGAUAGCAAACAAUGUUUGCGGGAGUGGUUAAAGAUGAAAAGGAACUUUGAAAAGAGAGUCAAAGAGUGCUUGAAAUUGUCGGUGAGGGAAGCGAAUGGGGGCCUGGCGAUGCUCCCGGUCGGAUGUGAACGGUGUAAGUCGGUCUCGCCGAUCGGGUUAGCUCGGGACGUGGACCGGUGCGGAUUGGUACGCGGCCAAGCCCAGGCUGUUGAUAUGCUUGGAGAUGCCGUUGUGCCGAUCGUGGUUGGCAGCGCGCGCCGUCACGGCGUGCUUCGGCACCUGCUGGUGCUCCUGGCACCGUGCCUGCGGGCACCUCCAUUCGGCCCGUCUUGAAACACGGACCAAGGAGUCUGACAGUGUGCGAGUCACGGGUGAGUAAAACCCGCAAGCGCAAGGAAGCUGAUUGGCGGGAUCCCCCUCGUGGGGUGCACCGCCGACGACCUUGAUCUUCUGAGAAGGGUUCGAGUGUGAGCAUGCCUGUCGGGACCCGAAAGAUGGUGAACUAUGCCUGAGCGGUGGCGAAGCCAGAGGAAACUCUGGUGGAGGCCCGCAGCGAUACUGGACGUGCAAUGUUUUAUCGUUGUCUGACUUGGGUAUAGGGGGAAAGACAAUCGAACCGUCUAGUUAGCGUGGUUCCUCUUCCGAAGUUUCCUCGGAUUUAGCUGGAGCCCGGGUGCGAGUUAUUCUAUCGGGUAAAGCGAAUGAUAUUUAGAGGCAUCGGGGGCGCAACGCUCGACUAUUUCUCAAACUUAAAUAGGUAGGACGGUCGCGGCUGCUUUGUUGAGCCGCGCCAAUCGGAAUCGAGAGCUCCAACGUGGUUUCCAUUUUUGGUAAGCAGAACUGGCGAUGCGGGAUGAAACCGGAAGCCGGGUUACGGUGCCAAACUGCGCGCUAACCUAGAACCCACAAAGGUGUUGGUCAUUAAGACAGCAGGACGGUGGUCAUGGAAGUCGAAAUCCGCUAAGGAGUGUGUAACAACUCACCUGCCGAAUCAACUACCCGAAAUUGAUGCGCUUAAGACCGCCAGCUGCUUUCCCUCGGUGACCGUCGAAGCAGUUGCGCUGAGGUCUGUUUCCGAUGAGUAAAGGAUGGGCGGGGUUCGGUCGCUGCUAUUUAAACCUUGGAUGCGUAUGAUGCUCCGGGGUAGCGGCCGUCGGUUGUCGGAUUCUUGGUGGUAGUGCAAUAUUCAAUGAGAAUUUGGGAAGGCCAAGAGGGGUAAAGGUUCGCAUGUGAUACGGCUACUUGCAUCAUGGGUUAUUUGUCGGAUUUCUUUUAAGAAGACGUGGGGAUAGCCCGUUCCAGAUGAGCGUGUUUCUACGUUCGAGCUUCGAAAUGGGUAAUCGGGUUUAAAAUUCCUAGAUAAAUCGCGGGAACGUUGGCGUGGCUGACGGUCUUAUACUUGUUAAGUGAUUCCGGAGACGUCGGUCGGGGCCUCUGGGAAGAGUUUCUUUUCCUGUUUAACAGCCUGCCCAUCCCUGGAAAGCGACUCAUCGUUAGGUAGGGGUCCAGCGGCUGGAAGAGCACCGCACGUCGCGCGGUGUCGGUGCGCCCCGGCGGCCCUUGAAAAUCCGGAGGACCGAGUGCCUCCCAUGCCCGGUCGUUGACUUCAUGAACUUCGCUAAAUAGGAUUCCUAAUAGUGAACGCUCAUGGCC